GACGAACGCUGGCGGCGUGCUUAACACAUGCAAGUCGAACGGAAAGGCCCUGCUUUUGUGGGGUGCUCGAGUGGCGAACGGGUGAGUAACACGUGAGUAACCUGUCCUUGACUUUGGGAUAACUUCAGGAAACUGGGGCUAAUACCGGAUAGGAGCUCCUGCUGCAUGGUGGGCGUUGGAAAGUUUCGGCGGUUGGGGAUGGACUCGCGGCUUAUCAGCUUGAUGGUUGGGUAGUGGAUUACCAAGGCUUUGACGGGUAGCCGGCCUGAGAGGGGGACCGGCCACAUUGGGACUGAGAUACGGCCCAGACUCGUACGGGAGGCAGCGGUGGGGAAUAUUGCACAAGGGGCGGAAGCCUGGUGCAGCCACGCCGCGUGCGGGAUGACGGCCUUCGGGUUGUAAACCGCUUUCGCCUGUGACGAGGCGUGAGUGACGGUAAUGGGUAAAGAAGCACCGGCUAACUACGUG
rnacentral:rRNA from 1 species